AUACGGAGGGUGCGAGCGUUAAUCGGAAUUACUGGGCGUAAAGCGCGCGUAGGCGGUUUAAUAAGUCUGAUGUGAAAGCCCUGGGCUUAACCUGGGAAUGGCAUUGGAUACUGUUGAGCUAGAGUGCAGGAGAGGAGAGUGGAAUUCUCGGUGUAGCGGUGAAAUGCGUAGAUAUCGGGAGGAACACCAGUGGCGAAGGCGGCUCUCUGCACUGACACUGACGCUGAGGUGCGAAAGCGCGGGUAGCAAACAGGAUUAGAUACCCCAGUAGUCC
rnacentral:rRNA from 1 species